GGGCUGCAGUGGGGAAUUUUGGACAAUGGGCGCAAGCCUGAUCCAGCCAUGCCGCGUGAGUGAAGAAGGCCUUCGGGUUGUAAAGCUCUUUCAGACGGAAAGAAACGGCCACGGCUAAUACCCGUGGCUAAUGACGGUACCGUCAGAAGAAGCACCGGCUAACUACGUGCCAGCAGCCGCGGUAAUACGUAGGGUGCGAGCGUUAAUCGGAAUUACUGGGCGUAAAGCGUGCGCAGGCGGUUUUGUAAGACAGAUGUGAAAUCCCCGGGCUUAACCUGGGAACUGCAUUUGUGACUGCAAGGCUAGAGUGUGGCAGAGGGGGGUAGAAUUCCACGUGUAGCAGUGAAAUGCGUAGAGAUGUGGAGGAAUACCGAUGGCGAAGGCAGCCCCCUGGGUCAACACUGACGCUCAUGCACGAAAGCGUGGGGAGCAAACAGGAUUAGAUACCCCAGUAGUC
rnacentral:rRNA from 1 species